rnacentral:rRNA from 1 species
UACAGGGGGUGCAAGCGUUGCUCGGAAUUAUUGGGCGUAAAGCGCACGUAGGCGGUUUGUUAUGUCGGAUGUGAAAUCCCUUGGCUCAACUGAGGAAGUGCAUCCGAAACUGGCAAGCUAGAGUAUGUAAGAGGGUCGCGGAAUUCCCGGUGUAGAGGUGAAAUUCGUAGAUAUCGGGAGGAACACCGGUGGCGAAGGCGGCGACCUGGGACAAUACUGACGCUGAGGUGCGAAAGCGUGGGGAGCAAACAGG